rnacentral:rRNA from 1 species
AACGGGGGGAGCUAGCGUUACUCGGAAUAAUUGGCGUAAAGGGUGCGUAGGUUGUAUUUAUUUACAUAUGUUUAAAGAUAAUAGGUGUAACCUUUUAGAGAAUGUAUCUGAUUAUAAUACUGGAGUUUAAAAGAGGAAAGUCGUACUUUUAGUGGAAAGGUAGAAUUUGUCAUAUAUUAAGGGGACGGUCAUUAGGUGUAGGCACUGUCUAUAGUAAAACUAACGCUCAAGCACUAAAGUAUGGGGGAUCAAAUAGGAUUAGAGACCCUAGUAGUCCAUACCCUGACCGAUGAGUGUUGAAUAUGAGAAAUUUUUUUUGUAUUUAAGCUAACGCUUAAACACUCCGCCUGGGCAGUACGAUCGCAAGGUUGAAACUCAAAG